rnacentral:rRNA from 1 species
UACGUAGGGUGCGAGCGUUAAUCGGAAUUACUGGGCGUAAAGCGUGCGCAGGCGGUCUGUUAAGACCGAUGUGAAAUCCCCGGGCUUAACCUGGGAACUGCAUUGGUGACUGGCAGGCUUUGAGUGUGGCAGAGGGAGGUAGAAUUCCACGUGUAGCAGUGAAAUGCGUAGAGAUGUGGAGGAACACCAGUGGCGAAGGCGGCGUUCUGGUCGUGAUAACUGACGCUGAAGACGCGGAAAGCGUGGGAGCAAACACGG